rnacentral:lncRNA from 1 species
AGACUACACUUUCAGGAAUCAUUUCUAUAGUUUGUUACUAGAGAAGUUUCUCUGAAUACGUAGAGCAAAAUAUAUAAUAAGACAAAAAGGGGGCCAGGCGCAGUGACUCAUGCCUGUAAUCCCAGAACUUUGGGAGGCCGAGGCAGGUGGAUCAUCAGGUCAGGAGAUCAAAACCAUCCUGGCUAACAUGGUGAAACCCUGUCUCUACUAAAAAUACAAAAAAUUAGCCAGGUGGAGUGGCACACGCCUGUAGUCCCAGCUACUCAGGAGGCUGAGGCAGGAGAAUCUCUUGAACCCAGGAGGCAGAGGUUGCAGUGAGCUGAGAUCGCACCACUGCACUCCAGCAUGGGUGACAGAGCGAGAC